rnacentral:rRNA from 1 species
GACGAACCGAGCGAACGUUAUUCGGAAUCACUGGGCUUAAAGGGCGCGUAGGCGGGCGAUCAAGUCAGGGGUGAAAGCCCCCAGCUCAACUGGGGAAGUGCCUCUGAUACUGGUCAUCUCGAGGGAGGUAGGGGCGUGCGGAACUUCCGGUGGAGCGGUGAAAUGCGUAGAUAUCGGAAGGAACGUCGGUGGCGAAAGCGGCGCGCUGGACCUCUUCUGACGCUGAGGCGCGAAAGCCAGGGGAGCAAACGGG